rnacentral:rRNA from 1 species
CCUACGGGUGGCAGCAGUGGGGAAUAUUGGGCAAUGGGCGCAAGCCUGACCCAGCAACGCCGCGUGAAGGAAGAAGGCCCUCGGGUUGUAAACUUCUUUUGUCAGGGACGAAACAAAUGACGGUACCUGACGAAUAAGCCACGGCUAACUACGUGCCAGCAGCCGCGGUAAUACGUAGGUGGCAAGCGUUAUCCGGAUUUACUGGGUGUAAAGGGCGUGUAGGCGGGAGAGCAAGUCAGAUGUGAAAUUCCAGGGCUCAACCCUGGAACUGCAUUUGAAACUGUUUUUCUUGAGUGAUGGAGAGGCAGGCGGAAUUCCGUGUGUAGCGGUGAAAUGCGUAGAUAUACGGAGGAACACCAGUGGCGAAGGCAGCUUACCAAUCUAUAUCUGACGUUGAGGCACGAAAGCGUGGGGAGCAAACAGGAUUAGAUACCCCAGUAGUC